rnacentral:rRNA from 1 species
GGACGAACGCUGGCGGCGUGCUUACCACAUGCAAGUCGAACGGAAAGGCCCUGCGUUUGUGGGGUGCUCGAGUGGCGAACGGGUGAGUAACACGUGAGUAACCUGCCCCUGACUUUGGGAUAACUUCAGGAAACUGGGGCUAAUACCGGAUAGGAGCUCCUGCUGCCUGGUGGGGGGUGGAAAGUUUCGUCGGUUGGGGAUGGACUCGCGGCUUAUCAGCUUGUUGGUGGGGUAGUGGCUUACCAAGGCUUUGACGGGGAGCCGGCCUGAGGAGGUGACCGGCCGCAUUGGGACUGUGAGACGGGCCAGACUCCUGCGGGAGGCAGGAGGGGUGAAUAUUGGACGAUGGGCGCAAGCCUGAUGCAGUAACUCCGCUUGCGGGAUGAAGGCCUUCGGGUUGUAAACCGCUUUCGCCUGUGACGCCGCGUGAGUGACGGUAAUGUGUAAAGAAGCACCGGCUAACUACGUG